CCUAGGUCUUCACUAUGCCCAAAAGGUUUUCUCUCUUCUUUAUUACAUGGAAGAUGGUUGUGGAUCAAAUCAAAGUAGGAAUAAGUUUGAAUUUCAAAUUCUAUGAAAUAGAAUUUUAGAAAUCCAAAACUCUUUCCUUUUUGCACCAAUUUUACUCAGAUUUUUUCUGAAAUUUUUGUGGCUUUUAUGGCACUUGAUAGGUGCCCUUUGCUAUUGGUCCAUGCACAAAAAGGAGGGGGCAUCCAAGAGUUGGG
rnacentral:lncRNA from 1 species